CGCGGAACCUCUGCAAUAGGCGAAAGCCUGACAGGGUUAUUCUGAGUGACUUUCGCUAAGAAAGUCUUUUGACACCUCUAAAAAUGGUGUAGAAUAAGGGGUGGGCAAGUCUGGUGUCAGCCGCCGCGGUAAUACCAGCACCCCGAGUGGUCGGGACGAUUAUUGGGCCUAAAGCAUCCGUAGCCGGUUUUACAAGUCCUCCGUUAAAUCCAACUGCUUAACAGAUGGGCCGCGGAGGAUACUAUAAGACUAGGAGGCAGGAGAGGCAAGCGGUACUCAGUGGGUAGGGGUAAAAUCCGUUGAUCCAUUGAAGACCACCAGUGGCGAAGGCGGCUUGCCAGAAUGCGCUCGACGGUGAGGGAUGAAAGCUGGGGGAGCAAACCGGAUUAGAUACCCGGGUAGUCCCAGCUGUAAACGAUGCAGACUCGGUGAUGGACUAGCUUCAUGCUAGUCCAGUGCCGCAGGGAAGCCGUUAAGUCUGCCGCCUGGGUAGUACGGUCGCAAGACUGAAACUUAA
rnacentral:rRNA from 1 species